rnacentral:rRNA from 1 species
GACGAACGCUGGCGGCGUGCUUUACACAUGCAAGUCGAACGGUGAAGGUGGAGCUUGCUCCGCCGGAUCAGUGGCGAACGGGUGAGUAACACGUGGGCAACCUGCCCCUAACUUGGGGAUAACUACUCGAAAGAGUAGCUAAUACCGGAUAUGAAGUCUGUAGGCAUCUAUGGAUUUGGAAAGUUUUUCGGUUAGGGAUGGGCCCGCGGCCUAUCAGCUUGUUGGUGAGGUAGUGGCUCACCAAGGCGACGACGGGUAGCCGGCCUGAGAGGGCGACCGGCCACACUGGGACUGAGACACGGCCCAGACUCCUACGGGAGGCAGCAGUGGGGAAUAUUGCGCAAUGGGCGAAAGCCUGACGCAGCAACGCCGCGUGCGGGAUGAAGGCCUUCGGGUUGUAAACCGCUUUCAGCAGGGAAGAAGCGAAAGUGACGGUACCUGCAGAAGAAGCACCGGCUAACUACGUGCCAGCAGCCGCUGUAA